UGAGUACGAGAUGCUACGGCAUCGAAGCAGUCUAUGUCAUACUUCCAAGAAAAGCUUGCACUGUCAUAAACAAAGAAUGCCUGUACCAUAACCGACACAGGUGGGUAGGUAGAGUAUACUAAGGGGCGCGAGAUAACUCUCUCUAAGGAACUCGGCAAAAUGACUCCGUAACUUCGGGAGAAGGAGUGCCUUAUUUCUAAGGUUGCAAUAACAAGAUCCAAGCAACUGUUUACCAAAAAACACAGGUCUCCGCUAAGUCGUAAGACGAUGUAUGGGGGCUGACGCCUGCCCAGUGCCAGAAGGUUAAAGAAGUUGGUUAGCAUUAGCGAAGCUGAUAACUGAAGCCCUGGUGAACGGCGGCCGUAACGAUAACGGUCCUAAGGUAGCGAAAUUCCUUGUCGGGUAAGUUCCGACCCGCACGAAAGGCGUAAUGAUUUGGAUACUGUCUCGGAGAGGGGCUCGGUGAAAUAGACUUGUCUGUGAAGAUGCGGACUACCUGCACCUGGACAGAAAGACCCUAUGAAGCUUUACUGUAACUUGAGAUUGAAAUUGGACUUUAUUUGCGCAGUAUAGGUGGGAGGCGUUGAGAAUAAUCUUGCGGGAUUGUUGGAGCCAUCAGUGAGAUACCACUCUUGUAAUGUUAGAUUUCUAACUUUGUAUCAUUAUCUGGUCAAAGAACAGUUUCAGGCGGGCAGUUUGACUGGGGCGGUCGCCUCCCAAAGGGUAACGGAGGCGCACAAAGGUUUCCUCUGAACGGGUAGAAAUCGUAUCUAGAGUGUAAAGGCAUAAGGAAGCUUGACUGUGAGACCUACAAGUCGAGCAGGGACGAAAGUCGGUCUUAGUGAUCUGACGGUGCUGAGUGGAAAGGCCGUCACUCAACGGAUAAAAGUUACUCUAGGAUAACAGGCUGAUCUCCCCCAAGAGUUCACAUCGACGGGGAGGUUUGGCACCUCGAUGUCGGCUCAUCGCAUCCUGGGGCGGUAGUCCGUCCCAAGGGUUGGGCUGUUCGCCCAUGAAAGCGGUACGCGAGCUGGGUUCAGAACGUCGUGAGACAGUUCGGUCCAUAUCCGGUGUAGGCGUUAGAAUAUUGAGAGGAGCCUUCUCUAGUACGAGAGGACCGAGAAGGACAUACCUCUGGUGUACCAGUUAUCGUGCCAACGGUAAACGCUGGGUAGCUAUGUAUGGAGUGGAUAACCGCUGAAAGCAUCUAAGUGGGAAGCCCACCUCAAGAUAAG
rnacentral:rRNA from 1 species